UUGACAUAAAUAAGGUAGUAGUUUAAAGGGAAAGUAAUGAUUAGCAAAACUUAUAAAGACGGGAGAGAUCAACGCACAUUAAAUAGUGUGUAAAUUACCUAAUCCUAGGUUAGCUGAAUCUUCAGACAUAUAUACAUGAUAUAUUUUUGUGUCACAAACCAGUCACUCUGUGUUUUCUAUAAGAAGAGAAAAUAGGUUUGUGUUAAGAAAUGAUCUCUGAAUGUUCAAGAAAAUAAUACUGUGGGCUUGCUUACAUGGGCAGAAGGAAGAUCUCCAGUCCGAGGGGAAUGGCAGCACUUUUAAAACUCUGAGAUUGAUGAGUGGCUAAUUAGACCCUCAGCCACUCCCAUGGUAAGUCAUGAUGGAUGCCAAGACAGCAGUAAGGGGUUGUGAUUUUCUUUGUUUUCUUCCUUGUGCACCAAAGACGCAGAGAUGGAGAUGGUCUCUUGU
rnacentral:sRNA from 1 species